AAUAGCUACUUGCAUCAUUGAAAAUAUGAUGCAAGAUCGACUAUGUCGAAUAAAAUUCUAGGUAGAAUUAUGAUAAUGACAUUGUCUGCCUAUGUGUCUUGACCAAAUUACGUGCCAGCAGUCGCGGUAAUACGUAGAAGACUAGUGUUAUUCAUGUUUAAUCGGUUUAAAGGGUACCUAGACGGUAAAUCAAGCCUAAAAGGAAGGUAAUAAAGGGACUAAUUUACUAGAGUUACUUAUGAGGGGGUAUUAAAGUACUGCUGGUGUAGAGAUGAAAUUCUGUCAUACCUCUUUUCAAUAGAAAAAUAAUGGCACAGGUAUAGGCGAAAGCAUCCCCUUAUGUGAUAACUGACGUUGAGGGACGAAGGCUUUGUGUAGCGAACAGGAUUAGAUACCCCAGUAGUCAAAGCAGAAAAUGAUGAAUGUCAUAGAUUAGAUAUAUAAGUUUAUUCUAUAAAUGAAAGUGUAAGCAUUCCACCUCAAGAGUAAUUUGGCAACAUUGGAACUGAAAUCAUUAGACCGUUUCUGAAACCAGUAGUGAAGUAUGUUGUUUAAUUUGAUGAUCCGCAAAAAACCUUACCACAAUUUGAAUAUUUAUAUCUUUUAUUGUUUUUCUUUUUAACUUUCUUCUGAUUUUCUACUUAAAAGAAAACAAUAACAAGAAAAAAGAGGCAAUAA
rnacentral:rRNA from 1 species